AGAAGAGCGCAGAGUGAAUGCCUUGGCAUUGAGAGCCGAAGAAGGACGUGGUUAACUGCGAUAAGCAGCGGGGAGUUGUAAGCAAGCAUUGAUCCGCUGAUUUCCGAAUGGAGCAAUCCGCAUGAAGUAGUUCAUGCAUCCAUAUGUGAAUCAAUAGCAUAUGGAGGGGAACCGCCUGAACUGAAACAUCUAAGUAGGGCGAGGAAGAGAAAUCAACCGAGAUUCUGUAAGUAGUGGCGAGCGAACGCGGAAGAGGCCAAACCGAGAGAAGAAAUUCUUUCGGGGUUCGGACUGCAUUUAGUAUUCCUGAUCUUUAGUCGAACAGUCUGGGAAGGCUGACGAGAGAGUGUGAGAGUCACGUAGACGAAAAGGAGAAGGAGCGAGCAGGAUCCAGAGUACCGCGGGGCACGUGAAAUCCCGUGGGAAGAUGGGGGGACCACCCUCCAAGCCUAAAUACUACUCAAUGACCGAUAGCGUAUAGUACUGUGAAGGAACGGUGAAAAGAACCCCGGGAGGGGAGUGAAAAGAACCUGAAACUCUGUGCUUACAAGCACAUAGAGCACGUCAAUGUGUGAUAUGGUACCUUUUGUAGAAUGGUCCGGCGAGUUAUGGUAUGCAGCAUGGUUAAGGACUUGAGGUCUGAAGCCGAAGCGAGAGCGAGUCUGACAAGGGCGAUAAGUUGCAUGCCAUAGACCCGAAACCGGGUGACCUAGCCAUGUCCAGGCUGAAGUGGAGGUAAAACUCCAUGGAGGGCCGAACCGACCUCCGUUGAAAAGGCGGCGGAUGAGGUGUGGAUAGCGGAGAAAUUCCAAUCGAACCCGGAUAUAGCUGGUUCUCCUCGAAAUAGCUUUAGGGCUAGCCUCAUAAGAGAUUACCGGAGGUAAAGCGACUGAAUGGUCUAGGGGGCGAGAGUCUACCGAAACCUAUCAAACUCUGAAUGCCGGAUAAUUAAUUUAUGGGAGUCAGACGGCGUGAGAUAAGUUUCGUCGUCAAAAGGGAAAGAGCCCAGAUCCACAGCUAAGGUCCCGAAGUGCAUUUAAGUGGGAAAGGAUGUGGAACCGCUAAAACAACCAGGAUGUUGGCUUAGAAGCAGCCACACAUUUAAAGAGUGCGUAAUAGCUCACUGGUCGAGUGGUUGUGCGCCGAAUAUGUAACGGGGCUAAAACCUGCCACCGAAGCGACGGGUUGCGUAAGCAGCGGUAGAGGAGCAUUGUGUAAGGGCAGAAGCAGUAUCGAGAGGCACUGUGGACUUUACAGAAGAGAGAAUGCCGGUAUGAGUAGCGAGAGCCAUGCGAGAAACAUGGCCGUCGAAAGCCCAAGGUUUCCUGGGGAAGGUUCAUCCACCCAGGGUUAGUCGGGGCCUAAGGCGAGGACAGAAGUCGUAGCCGAUGGAUAGCUGGUGAAGAUUCCAGCACCGCCGAGGAAUGAUGCAGUGACACAGGAGGAUAGUCGGAGCGUGGUGAUGGUCAACCACGUGCAAGCACUGAGGCUGGCAGGUAGUGAAGUACGCCUGCCAAGGUUGGGGUGUGACGCGGAGCGAAAUAAAGUAGCGAAGUCGACGAGUUCACACUGGCGAGAAAAGCUGCUAGUAAAUCCGAAGGCGCCCGUACCGGAAACCGACGCAGGUGGGCGAGGAGAGAAUCCUGAGACGAACGGGAGAACCCUUGUUAAGGAACUCGGCAAAAUGACCCCGUAACUUCGGGAGAAGGGGUGCCUCGAAAGAGGCCGCAGAGCAUAGGCCCAAGCGACUGUUUAGCAAAAACACAGGUAUCUGCGAAAGCGAGAGCUGACGUAUAGGUGCUGACACCUGCCCGGUGCUGGAAGGUUAAGGGAAAAUGUCAGGGCAACCGAAGCAUAGAACCGAAGCCCCAGUAAACGGCGGCCGUAACUAUAACGGUCCUAAGGUAGCGAAAUUCCUUGUCGGGUAAGUUCCGACCCGCACGAAUGGUGUAACGAUUUGAGCGCUGUCUCAACAGGGGGCCCGGUGAAAUUGAAGUAUGGGUGAAGAUGCCCAUUACCCGCGACUGGACGGAAAGACCCCGUAGAGCUUUACUGUAACCUGAUAUUGGAUUUCGGUAACGGAUGCACAGAAUAGGUGGGAGACUGGGAAAUACGUGUUUCGGCAUGUAUGGAGUCGCCGUUGGGAUACCACUCUUCUGUUAUUGGAAUUCUAACAUGACGCCGUAAGCCGGUGAAUGGACAGUGUCAGGCGGACAGUUUGACUGGGGCGGUCGCCUCCGAAAGAGUAACGGAGGCGCCCAAAGGUACCCUCAGAAUGGAUGGAAACCAUUCGAAGAGAGCAAAGUCAGAAGGGUGCUUGACUGCGAGACCGACAAGUCGAGCAGGUACGAAAGUAGGGCUUAGUGAUCCGGCGGUAUGAGAGUGGAAUUGCCGUCGCUCAACGGAUAAAAGCUACCUCGGGGAUAACAGGCUGAUCUCCCCCAAGAGUCCACAUCGACGGGGAGGUUUGGCACCUCGAUGUCGGCUCGUCGCAUCCUGGGGCUGGAGCAGGUCCCAAGGGUUUGGCUGUUCGCCAAUUAAAGCGGCACGCGAGCUGGGUUCAGAACGUCGUGAGACAGUUCGGUCCCUAUCCAUCGUGGGCGUAGGAGUCAUGAGAGGAGCUGUUCCUAGUACGAGAGGACCGGAAUGGACGCACCACUGGUGCAACUGUUGUCGUGCCAACGGCAUAGCAGGGAAGCGAAGUGCGGAUGGGAUAAACGCUGAAGGCAUCUAAGCGUGAAGCCCACCUCGAGAAUAAGAUUCCAGGCAGCAAUGCGAGAGACCCCUGGAAGACUACCAGGUGAUAGGUCGUCGGUGGAAGCGCAGUAAUGUGUGUAGCUUGACGAUACUAAUCGGUCGAUAGCUUGAUUU
rnacentral:rRNA from 1 species